GAGAAGGGGCCAAUCAGCGCGCGAGGCUGCGGCGCGGCCGCGAUUGGACAGCCCCGCGGGCUGCAACCUCCUUGGCCGGUCUCGGUGCUUUGAGCCACUGCAUCCCCUAGCGGCGCUCAGGCUGCUGCAGCCGUCUGGCCCCAGAAAGCGGCCCGGGUGUGCUAGAGUCGGGCGGGAAGCGAAGUCUCAAGGUUCCACCCGCGGCUCCCCUCAGGGCAAUGUGUGCAAGGAGAGAGCGUGGGUUCUCCCUCAGGCUUUGCCACGGACGGUACUGACAGUUUGAUUUGGGGUUCAAUUGGAAGGCAUUAUUCCCUCUUCGCUUCUCUACCCCACCCCGUGACAAUUCCCUACAAAUACACCUAAAAAAAAGUCAACAUAGAAGAGACCAUCCCUUAAAGUGCUAGAGGAUUCCUUCCUUGAGGUGAAAGAAAACCACCCAUAUUCAACCUUAACUCGGGCCAGUCAAGCUGCCAGCCUCUCCUGCUCACCGCGCUCUCCAAACCUUUUAAUUAUUUAGCUUCUGUCUAACAUCCACCGGAAACCGCUCCAUAAACAAGGACAACGGACUCAUACACAUUGUUGCUAAAAGUCCCGAGAUUCAGCUUAAGGAUGGCUGCAGAGGCGGAAAAAAAGAAAAGAAAAGGGCAUCUUGGCGCGUUGAUCUAGGACCCGCCGACACUAGCCGGACCCCAGUUCAAAGCUACGCGGAAAAUGCCAAACGGAGCUCUUUGGUCCUCUGCGCCAAGACCUGAAAGUCCAGGAAAUAAAAGGGACCCAUCCUCGGAAAGAGACGCUGCUGACGCCAGGACUUGAAAACGUUAACUUCAGAGGCUAAAGCCGAUUUUAAAAGACAAAGAGAAAAUAUCCCUGAGAAGGAGGCCUUCCGGUGUAGUGGCGCCUCUGAUAAUGCUCAAACUUUGGGGGGAGGUAUUAUUCAUUUUAAUUAAAUCACGAGCACCAAGUCUGGCUGCACUGACCUGAAGAGCCACCCCCAACCCUUGGAAAAAUAAAAGAUCUCGAAGCCCCUUCUUGGUCUGGGUGGUUUGGGGCUGGCAGAGAGGAGUGGGGGCCUGCGGCUGGGUGCCCAGUGUAAUGGAGCCAGCCUGUAGGGGGUAUUUAACAUUUAAUUCCCAGCCGGUCCGCCCCUGUUCCCGGACUGACAGUGGGUAAUUGGGAAAGAGGACGUUGCUCUUUUGAUGGCCCGCGCCGGCCAGUCUCGCCGACGCCACACUGGGUUUGACGUCACGGGCCCAACCCCAGAGCCCUGAGUACAGAGCUGGGGGGAGGGAAAAGGAGAGGAGGGGUCUACCGAGCGGGGAGGGCCGAGGUCGGCCCCGGGACCCACGCGGAAGGAAGGGGGGAAGGGAGCAAGGCGGGAGAGAGGCUGCGGCGCGUGGCCUGAGGCGGAGAGCCGGGCUGCGGGAGUCUAGGCCAGGCCCGGCGCCUGCCUGACCUGCCUCGCGGGCAAAUGCAGGCCGGGCUUCCUCCUCU
ensembl:lncRNA